rnacentral:rRNA from 1 species
AACGACUCUCGACAACGGAUAUCUCGGCUCUCGCAUCGAUGAAGAACGUAGCGAAAUGCGAUACUUGGUGUGAAUUGCAGAAUCCCGUGAACCAUCGAGUCUUUGAACGCAAGUUGCGCCCAAUGCCACUAGGCCGAGGGCACGCCUGCCUGGGUGUCACGCA